rnacentral:rRNA from 1 species
AGAGGUUACUGCUAUUGGUGUUCGACUAAGCCAUGCAAGUCAUAUGUUCCUCGUGAACAUGGCAUACUGCUCAGUAACACGUGGAUAACCUGCCCUUGGGUCUGGGAUAACCCCGGGAAACUGGGGAUAAUACCGGAUAACGCAUAUGUGCUGGAAUGCUUUAUGCGUAAAAUGGAUUCGUCCGCCCAAGGAUGGGUCUGCGGCCUAUCAGGUAGUAGUGGGUGUAAUGUACCUACUAGCCAACAACGGGUACGGGUUGUGAGAGCAAGAGCCCGGAGAUGGAUUCUGAGACAUGAAUCCAGGCCCUACGGGGCGCAGCAGGCGCGAAAACUUUACAAUGCGGGAAACCGUGAUAAGGGAACACCGAGUGCCAGCAUCAUAUGCUGGCUGUCCAGAUGUGUAAACUACAUCUGUUAGCAAGGGCCGGGCAAGACCGGUGCCAGCCGCCGCGGUAACACCGGCGGCCCGAGUGGUGACCGUUAUUAUUGGGUCUAAAGGGUCCGUAGCCGGUUUGGUCAGUCCUCCGGGAAAUCUGAUAGCUUAACUGUUAGGCUUUCGGGGGAUACUGCCAGGCUUGGAACCGGGAGAGGUAAGAGGUACUACAGGGGUAGGAGUGAAAUCUUGUAAUCCCUGUGAGACCACCUGUGGCGAAGGCGCCUUACCAGAACGGGUUCGACGGUGAGGGACGAAAGCUGGGGGCACGAACCGGAUUAGAUACCCGGGUAGUCCCAGCCGUAAACUAUGCUCGCUAGGUGUCAGGCAUGGCGCGACCGUGUCUGGUGCCGCAGGGAAGCCGUGAAGCGAGCCACCUGGGAAGUACGGCCGCAAGGCUGAAACUUAAAGGAAUUGGCGGGGGAGCACAACAACGGGUGGAGCCUGCGGUUUAAUUGGACUCAACGCCGGACAACUCACCGGGGACGACAGCAAUAUGUAGGCCAGGCNGAAGACCUUGCCUGAAUCGCGGAGAGGAGGUGCAUGGCCGUCGCCAGUUCGUACUGUGAAGCAUC